AGAGUAGCCGCGGUAAUACGUAGGGUGCAAGCGUUAAUCGGAAUUACUGGGCGUAAAGCGUGCGCAGGCGGUUCGUUAAGACAGAUGUGAAAUCCCCGGGCUUAACCUGGGAACUGCAUUUGCGACUGGCGGGCUAGAGUAUGGCAGCGGGGGGUAGAAUUCCACGUGUAGCAGUGAAAUGCGUAGAGAUGUGGAGGAAUACCGAUGGCGAAGGCAGCCCCCUGGGCCAAUACUGACGCUCAUGCACGAAAGCGUGGGGAGCAAACAGGAUUAGAUACCCGAGUAGUCCCUGUCUCUUAUACA
rnacentral:rRNA from 1 species